rnacentral:rRNA from 1 species
GACGAACGCUGGCGGCGUGGAUUAGGCAUGCAAGUCGAACGGUAUCAUCCUUUCGGGGGUGAGAGAGUGGCGAACUGGUGAGUAACACGUAGGUUAUCUACCCUCAAGACGGGGACAACCCAGGGAAACUUGGGCUAAUACCGGAUGUGAGCAACUUUUAGUUGUUUGAAAGGUGGCGUAAGCUGUCGCUUGGGGAUGAGCCUGCGUCCUAUUAGUUAGUUGGUGAGGUAACGGCUCACCUAGGCAAUGAUAGGUAGGCGGCCUUAACGGGUGGUCGCCCACACUGGGAUUGAGAUACGGCCCAGACUCCUACGGGAGGCAGCAGUCGAGAAUAGUCUACAAUGGUCGGAAGACUGAUAGUGCGACGCCGCGUGAACGAUGAAUCCCUUCGGGGUGUAAAGUUCUUUUAUAUGUGAGCAGUGCUUCUUAUAUUAACAGUAUAAGGGGGAGAGAUAUUAGCAUAUGAAUAAGCAACGGCUAACUCCGUGCCAGCAGCCGCGGUAAACUCGU